UCAUUUCGAGGGACGGCGAUUCGUUCCCGCCCCCGCCGCCGGAGGAGAAGAGGCCGAAGGGGGAGGAGCCUGGACGGUCGAGGGAGUAGAAUCGUCUCGGUUGGCGAUGGGCGAGAUCAUUAGAUUUCGGUAUUGGAAGAGAAGAAUAAUU
rnacentral:sRNA from 16 species